AUUGGUUGAACGGUGUUUUAAUGCGCAGGUAGCCUACGCUACGCGUUUCGUUGGGAGCGAAUCGCACCUGUUCCCGCCCGUUCUCCUGUUGAUCGCUGUAGGAAGUAUUGUAUUGUCACCUCUUUUGUGCGAGUAAUUGAACGGUGAUCUGCUUAGCAACUGAAAAAGAAAAACAUCAGAACAACUCAAACACACCGUUCCAGGACCCCUACCUUGGCAUUCACACGCAUACACGCGCAGUGUCAUGAUAAUGCCGCGCAAUAGGGUGGACCUUGAUCCCUUUUUCUGCUUUAAAUGAUGUUAAUACAGGCGGACUUCUCCUUUUUGUCUGGAAAAAACAUCUUACAGGCAUUACAAGAAAACCCACAACACUAAAUAUUACCACAGGAUGACCGAGAUUUAAAAGAAAAAUGGGGCAUAAAAUAGAGGGUUUCAGGUGGAGAAAGCCAAAGAAAAGGAGAAGGGAUGAGAGGUCACAGUCCUUUUGUCCACGAGAGGAAAGGAGAUGGAAUGGGUCAUAAACCUACACCCUGCUGUGGAUCUUGGAUGAGAGGAGUAAAGGUGGACACAAAGAAAAGCCUCAUUCACCGCUUCACCUCUGCCCCUGCAGAUGAUAGCAAGAAAGUGUUUUUACAUGAACGUUAUAAACGAGGUACCGUUGUCUUUUUGUGUGCAGACAAAGAGUGCAGUUUGCUGUGUGCAAUGAGUCUAAAACAGCCAGUAAGUGCAAGAAUCUGAGCACCAAAUGUUCCCAAACACCUCCGUACUCACUGAGGGACGCCCUAGGGUGGGGUGUCCCGUGGGGUUUCCAAGCAUGCACACGAGUUUGGCAGGGGUUCAGAGAGGGUGCAAAGGGAGGAGUCUUCCUUAACAGCAUAUUAAACAGGAGUUAAUUAUAUGCCAACCUUUGUGACAAAGAGAAUAAAAAGCCUCGACUUGA